rnacentral:sRNA from 1 species
AUUUAAUUUUCUUUUCUUCUUUAAGAUGAGGGGCGUCGAGGUAUCAAAAGUAAAUCAGGUUCUCAAAACAAGGUGCCAGUCAAAGAUGUUAGAGCAUCUAAAACCCCUCCAAUCAAACCUGAUGCUAAAGGUAAAGCAGCUCCAUCACCUGCCCCAGCCACCAAGAAAACUCCUCCUCCUGUCAAAACACCGCAAGCACCUGUAGCUCUUCAGCCUUCAACCACAGAAGCAGUUCCAGAGCAGAACAGCUCUGAGGCCACAAAUGUCCUUGUGGUAGAACAAGAACUCUCUCCUGCAGAGAAACUUUACAAGUCAACAUUUGCCCUACAGGUGUAUGACAUUCUGGGAGAUAUGGCAGAUAAGAUGGACGACAUG